UACGAAGGGGACUAGCGUUGUUCGGAUUUACUGGGCGUAAAGGGCGCGUAGGCGGCCGUUCAAGUCGGGGGUGAAAGCCUGUGGCUCAACCACAGAAUGGCCUUCGAUACUGGACGGCUCGAGACCGGAAGAGGUCAGUGGAACUGCGAGUGUAGAGGUGAAAUUCGUAGAUAUUCGCAAGAACACCAGUGGCGAAGGCGGCUGACUGGUCCGGUUCUGACGCUGAGGCGCGAAAGCGUGGGGAGCAAACAGG
rnacentral:rRNA from 1 species